UUAUAUAUAUAUAUAUAUAUAUUUUAAUUGGGGUAGCCCCCAAAAUAUUGGGACAUAUAAAAAAAGACAAUUCUGUUCUGCAGAGUAGCUGUUGACAUUAUAGUUGCGCAGGCACUUUGUUGACUGUAGAGAACCUCGGGCCAAUCGCACAUCCCCAUGAUGGCGACUUUGCAUUCGGAUGUCAUCCAUAUCAACUUUUGAUGCCAGUUUCUGCGCCUACCAUGGUGAUGACGGGUAACGGGAAAUCAGGGUUCCAUUCAGUACAGGGACCCUGAGAAACCGCUACUACAUGCAAGGAAGGCAGCAGGCGCGCAAAUGACCCACUCCCGACGCGGGAAGGUAGUGAUGA
rnacentral:rRNA from 1 species